UCCAUAACACCAUUACUACCAGGAGUCAACAGUGGCCAAGUCUAUAAAGCUCUGUGAGAACAAGGAACGUAUCUGUCUUGCUCCUUGUAAUCCCUAGUAGCUGUUCUUGGGACACAGAAAGGAAUUUAGUAACUCCCUGUUUCAUCAUAUUGAACUGGGGCAGUAUGGAACACUGCUGACAGGCUGCUGCUGCUGCUGCUGCCAAAUCAAAUGUUUGGCCAAGGACAAUUCCAUACAUUCCUUGGAAGGAGGCAAGAUGGGUGAUAGGAAGAACCUGAACACUGGUUGAGAAACGUGGGCUCUGGCUCUAUUAUCAUCAAUCCUAAACUGAGCUGCUUCCUAUUAUAUUCGUUUCAUUACCUAGACUACAGGACCUCAAGCUUUCUUCAAGUAAAUACGGUAUCUAUGGGAGGCAGAGUCUAAGAUGCCCCCAAAGAUCCUGGUACACCUGAUACUCACACCCUUAUGUAGUGCCCUUUCCCGAUGAACCAGGGUUGUGUGUGUGACCAACAGAAUAAAGCAAAAGGGAUGGUAUGUCGCUUCUGGGAUUAGGUGAUAACAGAUGUUGUGGCUUCUAUCUUGGUCAGCUGGCAUGUUUCUGUCUGUGUUUCUAGGACCACUAGCUCUGGGGGAAGCCAGCUGCUAUGCUGCAAACAGUCCUAGGGAGAGGACAAUGUGGCAGGAAAUAGGCCACCUGCCAACAGCCACCUGAAUGAGCUCAGAAGCAGAUCUUCUGGCCUGCUCAGCUUCAGAUGAAUGCAGCCUCAUGAAAGACCCUGAGACAAAACCACCCAGGGACAGAGUCUAUGUUGCCCAGUGGGGCUAUCCACAGGUGUAAUCAUAGCUCACUGCAGCCUCGAACUCCUGACCUCAAGUGAUCCUGCCUCUUCAGCCUCCCGAGUAGCUGGGACUACAGGUGCAUGCCACUGUUCAUGAGUUUUACAGACUUUUACAUUUUAACUUUUGACUCUUUUGUAAUUAACACAACACAAAUACAUUGUACAGCUGCAUAAAAAUUAUUUUCUUUAUACUCAUUCUGUAAGCUUUUUUCUAUUAAUUUUUCUUUUAAAACUUUUUUUUUCCUUAAACACUAAGACAGAAACACACACAUUAGCCUAGGCCUACUCAGGAUCUUCAAUAUCACUGUCUUCCCUUCUACAUCUUGUCCCACUGGAAGGCCUUCAGGGGCAAUAACAUGUGAUAACAAUGUUUUCUUCAGGAAUACCUCCUGAAAGACCUGCCGGAAGCUGUUUCACAAUUAACUUUAUUUUUUGGUUAAGUAGGAGUACUCUUUAAAAUAAUGACAGGCAGUGGCUCAUGCCUGUAAUACCAACAUUUUGGGAGACCGAGGUGGAAGGACUGCUGGAGCCCAGGAGUUGAAGAUCUGCCUGGGCAACACAGUGGGACCCCAUCUCAACAAAAAAUUUAAAAAGCCAGGCAUGGUGGUACAUACCUGUGGUCCCAGCUACUUGGAAGCUGAGGUGGGAGGACUGCAUGAGCCCAGGAAAUCAAGCCUGCAGUGAGCUGUGAUUACACCACUGCACUCCAGCAUGAAUGACAGAGCGAGACCCCAUUUCCAAAAUAAAUAAAUAAAAAUUUUUUAAAUGAUAAAAAGUACAGUAAAUACAAAAACCAGUAACAUAGUUGUUUAUUAUCCCUAUCAAGCACUGUAUAUGGUACGUAAUUGUAUGUGUGAUACUUUUAUAGAAUUAGCAGUGCAGUAGGUUUACACCAACAUCUCCACAAACACAUAAGUAAUACACUGCCCUAGGACAUUAAGAUGACCCCUACUUCACCAGGCAAGAGGAAUUUUUCAGUUCCAUUAUAAUCUUAUGGGACCACCAUUAUAUAGGCAGUUCAUCACUGACCAAAAUAUGGUUAUGCAGUGUAUGACUAAACUUGUCCUUUAGCAGUUAAAUGAAACUUGGAGUACACCGAGUUUAAAAAUCUAACACUCAAAAUAUUUGAAGUUUGUUAAAAUGGUCAUUUUGGAAAUAAGCUAAUUAUAAUGAAUAAAUCUUACACUAAAUAUAUUGUAACUGUAUUAGUCCGUUUGGUGUUGCUAUAAAGGAAUAUCUGAGACAGGGUAAUUUAUAAAGAGGUUUAUUUUAGCUCACAGUUCUGCAGACUGCACAAGCAGCACAGUGCCAGCAUCUGCUUCUGGUGGGGCCUCAGGAAGCUUUUACUCACUGUGAAAGGUGAAGGGGGACCAAGAGUGUCACAUGGUGAGAGAGGAAGCAAGACAAAGAAGAGCAAGAGAGAGAUGCCAGGCUCUUUUACACAACCAGAUCUCACAUUGAACUCUUUACCAUGAGAUGGCACCAAGUCACUCAUGAGGGAUUCGUCUCCAUGACCCAAACACCUCCGAGUAGGCCCCACCUCAAACACUGGGGAUGAAAUUUUCACAUGAGAUUUGGAGGGGACAAACACCCAAACUACAUCAAUAACUAGAAAUACUCUGUGAAAUAAGUUGUUACCAGUUCCCUACUAACUCGUCAAGUUACAUUCAGUAUGGUAUUAAGAGAAAUUCAACCCAAUCAGCCAAACAGGAGUGAGGUGAUUUUCACAUUAUUGGUAGGCAUAAAAACUGAGUUUCUUUAGCCA
rnacentral:lncRNA from 1 species